CGAAGUAAAAAGUCGUAACAAGGUCUCCGUUGGUGAACCAGCGGAGGGAUCAUUACCGAGUUUAC
rnacentral:rRNA from 1 species